ACUCCUACGGGAGGCAGCAGUGGGGAAUAUUGCACAAUGGGGGAAACCCUAGAUGCAGCCAUGCCGCGUGUGUGAAGAAGGCCUUCGGGUUGUAAAAGCACUUUCAGUAGGGAGGAAGGUAGUGUAGUUAACACCUGCAUUAUUUGACGUUACCUACAGAAGAAGCACCGGCUAACUCCGUGCCAGCAGCCGCGGUAAUACGGAGGGUGCGAGCGUUAAUCGGAAUUACUGGGCGUAAAGCGCAUGCAGGCGGCCUGUUAAGUCAGAUGUGAAAGCCCGGGGCUUAACCUCGGAAUUGCAUUUGAAACUGGCAGGCUAGAGUCUUGUAGAGGGGGUG
rnacentral:rRNA from 1 species